GUUGGUGAGGGAGGUUUGGUGUGGCCGGAGAGCAGAGUGGCAGGGGGCCCUGAGACAGGGCUGAGAGCAGUGAGGGGCCAGGUCACGAGGGCCACGUAUGCUACAGGGAGGAAUUCUGACCUGACCCUAAAUACAGCAGGAAGCCAUCACCGUGCUCAAAUGCCUUGAAUCCUUGUCGAGGACGUGACCCAGACUGCCUUACCAUUUCGGGACUGGCUUUUUCCUCCUCAAACAUCUGACCUUAAUUCCGACUCCUGCGGAUUUAAGACGGCGCCAUCACGUUACUGAGCUCGUCACCUCUCCCCCCGGCAAGUGUACAGAGUGUUUUCUUAUAGAAGUCUCAGCAAGAUGUCUGUAGCAUGGAUAUAAUCCUUCCCACUUCACAUGUGAGAAAGAAAGCUGAGUACAGAAAACUUCUCAAGGAAGACUCUGCCUACCUGGAAUCAGCGGCUGACAAAGGAGAUGAUAGACAGUGACUGGUCAUGAUUGUUCCUCUGGGCUGGGGAUGGAAUAGACUUCUCUGAGCUCUUGGUAAGAGGGUGGUAAACACAGUAAAAAAUAUUGGGGCUCAGACAGGAAGAAAGAAGAAGCAAUUGCCUUGGGACUGGCAGCUGAGUAUCUGCCUUACUUCCUCUGUAUUUUUCCAAGAAUUGAAUAAAAA